rnacentral:lncRNA from 1 species
UAUAUAGGAGAGAGACAGGGGUAUUUAGGAGAGAGACGGGGGUAUAUAGGAGAGAGAGGGGGUAUAUAAAACGAAGGGAGAGCAGUGCCUCUGUCAUGAGGGGUGACUGCAGGCGCUGAGCCCGGCCCGCUCUGUGGCCCGCAGGUGGGUGCUGGAGUCGGCCCGCUGGCUGGUGCUGAAGGGGAAGACAGAUGCAGCUGUGAGGAACCUGCGGCUGGUGGCCAGACUCAACGGGCACAAGGACCAGGGGGACAGGAUCGACACCGAGGUGCUGCAGGCCGCCAUGCAGAAGGAGCUGUCAGCCUGUCUGUCCCUGUGUCAGCCUGUCUGUCUGUCUGUCUGUCUGUCUGUCUGUCCCUGUGUCAGCCUGUCUGUCUGCCUGUCUGUCUGU